GACGAACGCUGGCGGCGUGCUUAACACAUGCAAGUCGAACGGAAAGGCCCUGCUUUUGUGGGGUGCUCGAGUGGCGAACGGGUGAGUAACACGUGAGUAACCUGCCCUUGACUUUGGGAUAACUUCAGGAAACUGGGGUUAAUACAGGAUAGGAGCUCCUGCUGCAUGGUGUGGGUUGGAAAGUUUCGGCGGUUGGGGAUGGACUCGCGGCUUAUCAGCUUGUUGGUGGGGUGGUGGCUUACCAAGGCUUUGACGGGUAGCCGGCCUGAGAGGGUGACCGGCCACAUUGGGACUGAGGUACGGGCCAGACUCCUACGGGAGGCAGCAGUGGGGAACAUUGCACAAUGGGCGGAAGCCGGAUGCAGCAACGCCGCGUGCGGGAUGACGGCCUGCGGGUUGUAAACCGCGUUCGCCUGUGACGAAGCGUGAGUGACGGUAAUGGGUAAAGAAGCACCGGCUAACUACGUG
rnacentral:rRNA from 1 species